CUACAGAUGACCAAGAGCCUCAUGUUCUUUCCAUUUGCGAGCCUGCCAAAUCUACUGAUAGAAAGGAAUCUGAGAGUACUGAGAUCUAUAUUUUGAAGGAAAAACAAAGAGGAAAAAUGAAUGGACACGAAAAGGACAGAUACACAGAGAAUGGCAGAUGGGAAGAAAGUCCGAAACAAGCAGUGUGGCUGAAAGCAAGCAGUGUGGCACGCAUAGACCCAAGAAGCUAUCAUUGGUUGUCUUUCUCAACCUAUGGACGGAAGAUGGUGAGACGGAGGCUGGCGGGUAGAUCUAGGCACCGGCAUCACAGAAGCAUGGGAAAGGAGGCAUGGUUGGGAAGAGGAAGAAGCUAUGCCGCCAUGCAGGACCAACAAAGGCUCCCACCUCACAAGGAGGGCUGGAGCCACGAGGACCCUUCUGAGUCAUCCUAAAUUGGAACAAGGGAGCCAGGUCUUUAUAACAAGUGUUGAUCACUUAUUAGAUGUGGGGAUGUCUGAAAGGAAGCAUGAGAGUGAGCGAGGCAGUUUCCUUCAGCUAACACCAUCUCCAAAGAGAGUAGAAGGCACGGAGUCCGUGCAGAAGCUCAGUGACUAGUUCCAGACAAUCUGCUGUCUUCCAGCUGUGCUUGCUCAAUUCUGCCUCAUUCUGGGAGCCCUGGUGUCACCACAGUGAAUAGGAUGGGUUCAGUGGAGAUGAGACUGCGCCAAGCCAGCUUCGCCCACAGCAUACCAAUGAGUGCCCUGGGAAGGCAUUAAUAAUGCAGAGCACACUAGGGUAGCCAGCCCGGCGAGGCCCUGUACGCACAUCAACGGAGGCAGCCGGGACUCACACGACUGAAUGUGUCUGCACAGGCUGACUGUCUGCGAGGCUGCCUGGUCUCCUAAUCGCCAGUCUCCUUUCCCGUCACCCUCAAGGGCUUCAUGAAUAA
ensembl:lncRNA